AUGGAAGAGAUGUCCUGGUCGGCGGCGAGCCUCCCGGAGGAGCUCCUCGUGGAGAUCCUGGCGCGGGUGCCCUACAGGUCGCUGUGCCGCUUCAGGUGCGUGUCGCCGUCGUGGCGCGCCCUCUGCUCCGACCCCGGCCUCGUCAGGCGGUCGCUGCAGACCCUCUCCGGCUUCUUCUGCCACGCCCUCCACAACCACCACGACGUGCGUUUCCUCAACUUCCCGGGCGGCAGUUCAGGCCGUCGGCCCCUGGUCGACCCGUCCUUCCCUUUCCUUCGCGGCGGCGGCUAUACCCAUGGCUUCAUACUCGUGGAUUGCAGCGGUGGCCUCCUCUGCGGGUGCUUCACGUCGCCCACCCCGUCAUCUUCGUUGGACAUAGAUUAUCUCGUGUGCAAUCCGGCAACCGAGGAGUGGACUGUGCUUCCUCGCACACAACAUAUGAACCUGCAGAGCAUCACACGUCUGGGCUUCGACCCGGCCGAUCCCUCCGGCUUCACGGUGUUUUUGUUCGAGCAGGAUCUCUAUGAUGGCGGCACGCUCACCGGACUGAAGAUCUACUCGUCCGAGACCAGAACAUGGGCUUCCAAGCAGAUUGGGUGGAGUCAAGGAAUUCAUUUGGAUAAUUCCGAGGAAUCAGUGUCUGUCUUUAUGAAUGGUGUGCUGCAUUUGCAUUUGCCGGCCAACAAUACUUUGAUCGUCACGUGGACAUGGACGGCAAGACUUGGCAGGCAUUUUGGAGGCCAUCCUUUGGUCAUGGCAUCGGGAGGUCUCAAGGACGCCUGCACACUAUAG
rnacentral:rRNA from 1 species